AUUGAACGCUGGCGGCAUGCUUUACACAUGCAAGUCGAACGGCAGCGCGGGGGCAACCCUGGCGGCGAGUGGCGAACGGGUGAGUAAUACAUCGGAACGUACCCAGAAGUGGGGGAUAACGUAGCGAAAGUUACGCUAAUACCGCAUACGUUCCACGGAAGAAAGUGGGGGACCUUCGGGCCUCAUGCUUUUGGAGCGGCCGAUGUCUGAUUAGCUAGUUGGUGAGGUAAAGGCUCACCAAGGCGACGAUCAGUAGCUGGUCUGAGAGGACGACCAGCCACACUGGAACUGAGACACGGUCCGGACUCCUACGGGAGGCAGCAGUGGGGAAUAUUGGACAAUGGGGGAAACCCUGAUCCAGCGACGCCGCGUGAGUGAAGAAGGCCCUCGGGUUGUAAAGCUCUUUGUCCGGAAGAAAGCAAUCGGUUAAUACCCGGUUGUUCUGACGGUACCGGAAGAAUAAGCACCGGCUAACUUCGUG
rnacentral:rRNA from 1 species